CACACAUUGAAUUCUUCUUUUUGUGUAAAAAUUUGUAAUUACUUUUAACGGUUUCUUUUGUUUGAUCAAAGUAACUGGUUAAAUUUUGUAGAAUUUUUAAAGAUUUGGAGGUCAAAUUCCCGGUAUAGAAGAUGAAAGAGUAUGAGUGUUUCCGAUCAAGCUCACCGUCACCGUUUUUCGGAAGCGCGAGUACUUCAAUUCGAGCCGAGAGUAAGCUAAACCUGGCUUCGAAUAUUUUGAAGCGCUUAUUCCGACCGCGAUCCAGAAGAUACCUCCCAGUUGUCCCCAAAUUUGGGAGAGGCAUGGAUAUAAACCUGUUCAAGUUGUGUUCUGGCCUCAAAGUAAUUGGCUACUUCAUGAUCCUGUUAGUUGCCGCAAUUGUCGCCGUUUCUUAUUACGCCGUUGUUGUACUUACUUGCGGGCCACAGUUGUUUCGCGGUGGAGUUCAUUCGUUUCUAGCAUUCUUUAUAAUUACAGUGUUUCAUGUUCUGCUUGUAAUGUUGGUUUGGAGCUAUAUAAUGGUUGUGUUUUGGGACCCUGGCUCUGUGCCGGAUAAUUGGAGGGCAGUAUUGUCGGAGGAGAGAUUGGAAGCUGGUAGUUCUUCAAUAUCUUCUGAUUACGCUGGACCAGAGACAUUAGAUUCCACACUGCCGUUUUCAGAUCGAUUGGAUGGAGGACGGCCGGUGGCCUACUGUGACAGGUGCCAAAAUGGGAAGCCGCCGCGAUGCCAUCAUUGCUCUGUUUGCCAAAGAUGUGUUCUCAAGAUGGACCACCACUGUGUUUGGGUGGUAAAUUGUGUUGGAGCAUGCAACUACAAGUUUUUUCUUCUAUUCUUGUUGUAUACCUUUCUGGAGACAACAAUAGACACUCUAGUGUUGCUUCCCAGUUUUAUAGAGUUCUUUGGCAAAGCUAUGAAUCAUUCCUCUUCUCCUGGCAAUCUAGCAAUCAUUUUUUUGGCUUUUGUUCUUAAUUUGGCGUUUGCUUUGAGUCUUCUUUGUUUCAUUGUUAUGCAUGCAUCCCUUGUAUCAAGCAACACCACAUCAAUAGAGGUUAAUGGCUGCAUCAAUUAUGCAUAUGGUGGCAUUAACCUGGCUCUGCAUGUUUCAGCAAUUGAGUCCUCAUUUGGUAGCUUUGUAUUUCUUUCUGGAAACUUUUAUGUAGGUUUAUGAGAAAAAAAGAGCAGCCAGAUGGAAAUAUGACAUAGGCAGGAAGAAGAAUUUUGAGCAGGUUUUUGGAACAAAAAAGGCAUUGUGGUUUCUACCAUUAUUUUCAAAAGAAGAUUUAGACAACAUACCUGCACUUCAUGGCCUAGAUUUCCCUACACGUUCUGACGUUUAGGCUUGAAGCUUGUUGAGCUUACUGUGAGUUGGGGUUCCUGCAAAGUGUAUCAUACUGUACCCUUUUAUCAUGUUGAAUAUGUUAAAAGUGUUGAUUUUUCCUCAACUUUUCACGAGAGGAUGUAUACAAAUUUUGGCCCGGAAAUCAUUAUUUUUUGUACAAUGUAUUUGGGGUUUAAGAUGAUUAUCCAAACUGUUGUGGAAUGUGGACUACUUAAUAUAAAAGUCCAAAAUAACGCAUGAACGUGCUCAAUUAAAGUGUUGGCAA